rnacentral:rRNA from 2 species
GUCCUUAGUUACCAGCACGUUAUGGUGGGCACUCUAAGGAGACUGCCGGUGACAACCGGAGGAAGGUGGGGAUGACGUCAAGUCAUCAUGGCCCUUACGGCCUGGGCUACACACGUGCUACAAUGGUCGGUACAAAGGGUUGCCAAGCCGCGAGGUGGAGCUAAUCCCAUAAAACCGAUCGUAGUCCGGAUCGCAGUCUGCAACUCGACUGCGUGAAGUCGGAAUCGCUAGUAAUCGUGAAUCAGAAUGUCACGGUGAAUACGUUCCCGGGCCUU